AAAUAUGCAUCAGAGGCUGGUUUUUUGAUCAAUUUUAGCUUACUUUUGAUCAAAGAUUCAUUGGCUUUGAAUGUUCUUUGAAGUAUAGUUCCAGCUGCUUAUUGAAGAUUGGUUUUGGCAUUAGUUGUGAUUUUCUACAUCACUGGUAUUUUGGAUGCACAAUUGUGUGCUUCGGAAGCUUGACAUUAGUAAUUGUUCUGAUUUUGACGUGCUCUAACAGUUACUAUUAAUUGAUCAAUGAUUUCCUGCAAAUUGUCAAUUCUGUGAAGUUUUAUCCAAGACUGGUUCAGAUUAAAUGAUAUAGAGUUAGUUGUUGUGAUAUGGAAAUUCAAGUUGGAAGUUCAUUGUUACCAAAUUUACUAUUAAUCUGGUUACUAAAAUGCAUCUUCUCCAAAAGUUGUCAUCUGAAUUUUAUGCCAAGCUACAUAUGUUGAGAAGGGUUUAUAGAGAUUUGGUACAGUAAUAUUGUUCUACUUGAGCACUUGAAAAGUUUGGAUUGGAAUUUGGCUGCUGGUUCUACCUGUACUUUGGAUUAUGGCUUGGAANNNNNNNUCAAGUCUAGUAGCAGCUUGGUUGCUUGUCCUCAGUUUUAUGCAUUUGGCUUAUGCUUGCUGAUAGUUUGAAAUUUGAAGAUUGGAGACAUUUUUUGAUUUGGCUUAUGCUUAGCUUAUCUCCUCUUUAAUAGUCCCAUAUUAGUGGUUUGUUGUCCUGUUUGGUACCUCACUGCUUCUGUUUUGCCUCCUACAAGUGUUGGAGUUUAGUCUUAUUUGAAUGCCCUUUGUGGUUGCCGCUAGUUUUUCUCGUAUUGUGAAGAUUCAAGACCGGUUUUGAACUCUUUAAUCUACUCUUUGUUGCCCUGUUUUAGGCAGGUACUUAGCCAUAUUGGCUUUGUUGCUUUUAUGCUUUCUCUUGAGCAGCUUGAAUUUGCUUGCUUUGUCAAGUGGUUAUUUGGUUUUCUUUUUGAUGUGCUAUCUCAUCUUGAGCACAACAUUGGUAUUGAUGCUUUACUCUCUAGCCAUCAACCAUGCUACUUGAUCUUUCUCCUUGAUUUGUUGGUCCUUAGAUGAGCUAAUUACCUUUAGCACGACUUGAGUAUUGAUGCUUCACUUUGUAGACAUCAGACCCUUUUGAUAUUCUCUACUAGAUCUUUCUCCUUGAUUUGUUGGUCCUUAGAUGAGCUAAUCACCUUUAGCACAACUUGAGUAUUGAUGCUUCACUUUGUAGACAUCAGACCCUUUUGAUAUUCUCUUUUUUGCUUCUAUCUUGAGUGAUUGAGUGCUCUUGAUGGUUAAGCUUUGUGCCUUAAUUGGCUUUGUUGAUUUGCUUCUGCCCUUAGUUGGCUUUGAUGGAUUGUGUUUCUUCCUUAUGGUGGUUAAGCACUACUAGUUGUUGUUUUCUAGCCGAUGUAUUAUGGCAAAUUUCAUUGUAUUUUCUUUAUAUUGAUGUACCUUUGUAUUAGUGAUCCCAAGCUGGAAGUGUUGUGACCACUUUCCAGCUUGCGGGAGGCUGUUGAACUAUAUAGAGUUCGACCCAUUAUCUAGUUAGUAUAGAUCCAUUAGCUAGUUAGUAUAUAAGAUAGAAGUUGCACUCAGUUAUACUUUGACACAUUCAUUUGUAUCAAUUCUAUUAGUUUCAUUACAGAUUUCUCAAACUUUUCUCUCCUUUU
rnacentral:lncRNA from 1 species